AGAGUAAAACAGUACGUGAAAUUGUUGAAAGGGAAACGAUUGAAGUCAGUCAUGCCGGCGUUGGAUUCAGCUUGCUUCGCGGAGCUUGCGCAUUUCCUCGCAUGGCAGGUCAGCGUCAGUUUUGCGCGGCGUGAAAAGGCUCGGGUAAGGUAGCUCUCUUCGGGGAGUGUUAUAGACCUGGGCAAAUGCGCAGCGCGGGACUGAGGAUUGCAGCGGACACCUCUUCGGAGGCGCGGCGACCGAACCCUGCUCGGCCACCCUCGUUCGAUAGCGUGCUAGCGGACGCGGGAGCGGCAGUGCACCGGAACAGGCAAGCCAGCGGUUCGCUUAGGAUGCUGACGUAAUGGCUUUAAACGACC
rnacentral:ncRNA from 2 species